rnacentral:rRNA from 1 species
AGAUUGAACGCUGGCGGCAGGCCUAACACAUGCAAGUCGAGCGGUAGAGAGGUGCUUGCAUCUCUUGAGAGCGGCGGACGGGUGAGUAAUGCCUAGGAAUCUGCCUAGUGGUGGGGGAUAACGUUCGGAAACGGACGCUAAUACCGCAUACGUCCUACGGGAGAAAGCGGGGGACCUUCGGGCCUCGCGCCAUUAGAUGAGCCUAGGUCGGAUUAGCUAGUUGGUGAGGUAAUGGCUCACCAAGGCGACGAUCCGUAACUGGUCUGAGAGGAUGAUCAGUCACACUGGAACUGAGACACGGUCCAGACUCCUACGGG